rnacentral:rRNA from 1 species
AUAAGGAGGGUGCAAGCGUUAUCCGGAAUCAUUGGGUUUAAAGGGUCCGCAGGCGGAUUAAUAAGUCAGUGGUGAAAUCCUCUCGCUCAACGAGAGAACUGCCAUUGAAACUGUUAGUCUUGAAUUCGGUCGAAGUAGGCGGAAUGUGUCAUGUAGCGGUGAAAUGCAUAGAUAUGACACAGAACACCGAUAGCGAAGGCAGCUUACUAGACCUGGAUUGACGCUCAUGGACGAAAGCGUGGGGAGCGAACAGGAUUAGAAACCCUAGUAGUCC